UGUAUUAUAUUACUGCACACAGAGCACCAACUCACCAUAACACGUUUUUAACACAUUUCUUAGAGCUUUUAUCUCUUCUUAACACAAAUUAUGAUCAAAUUCUUGUUCUAUUAUUACUAUUAAACUAUUAGAAGAUCUAUGGACCAGCCCACAAUCAUGGCCAUACUUUACUGUGGGUUUGUGCCUUUGCUCCAGGUUAAUGCAGAGUUUUUGGUGCUGAUGUAAUUCUGAUCUGUGAAGUACUUAUGGCUGCAUGUUAGUGUAAAAGGUGCUGUUUAAAUAAACUCCUGUUGAGUCAUGGUAGAAAAGCAGCACAAACAGGAUGGCUCUCUGCUCUAUCGUGUGUCCAGUGAUCUGGAGUUUUCUGUGGAUUGUUUCUGCCAAGGGAGACACUGAGGUGUCCUGUGUUUUCAUGGAGAGCUGCAUCUUACCGUGCAGCUUCCAGAGCGGAGCUGAUCCAGCCAUCAUCUGGUUUCUGGUGACAGCAGGAGACCUUCAUGUUCACUCCUACUACAGCAACCAAGACCAGCUCG